AUUGAACGCUGGCGGCAUGCUUUACACAUGCAAGUCGAACGGCAGCAUGACCUAGCUUGCUAGGUUGAUGGCGAGUGGCGAACGGGUGAGUAAUGCAUCGGAACGUAUCCAAUAAUGGGGGAUAACGCAUCGAAAGGUGUGCUAAUACCGCAUACGCCCUGAGGGGGAAAGUGGGGGAUCUUCGGACCUCACGUUAAUGGAGCGACCGAUGUCAGAUUAGCUAGUUGGUGGGGUAAAGGCUCACCAAGGCGACGAUCUGUAGCUGGUCUGAGAGGAUGAUCAGCCACAAUGGAACUGAGACACGGUCCAGACUCCUACGGGAGGCAGCAGUGGGGAAUUUUGGACAAUGGGCGCAAGCCUGAUCCAGCCAUGCCGCGUGAGUGAAGAAGGCCUUCGGGUUGUAAAGCUCUUUCGCAAGGGAAGAAAACUUAGCUCUUAACACGGGCUGGGGAUGACGGUACCUUGAUAAGAAGCACCGGCUAACUACGUGCCAGCAGCCGCAGUAA
rnacentral:rRNA from 1 species